rnacentral:rRNA from 1 species
UACGUAGGGGGCUAGCGUUGUCCGGAUUUAUUGGGCGUAAAGAGCGUGUAGGCGGCCAGGUAGGUCUGCUGUGAAAACUCGAGGCUCAACCUCGAGAGGUCGGUGGAAACCGUCUGGCUAGAGUCCGGAAGAGGAGAGUGGAAUUCCCGGUGUAGCGGUGAAAUGCGCAGAUAUCGGGAAGAACACCCGUGGCGAAGGCGGCUCUCUGGGCAACUCCUGACGCUGAGGCGCGAAAGCGUGGGGAGCAAACGGG